AAAACAAAUGUAUAUCGUCAACUUAGGGCUUGUCUGGUACCCCUGAAACGCCGUGAAACAGCAUUCCUCACCCCAUUAACCGCUGUUUGGUAGUUCCAGCGACCCGGUACACAACAGCCGGGUUUCCAACCUUCAUCUACUACAAUCAGCGUCUUCGUGCUAACACAAUCAGAGUCUUGAGCAGUUGGUGGCUCAAUUUCCGUCGAGGCGAGUUCAACACUACACAGGCGUAUCCUCCCUCUUCGACUCACUUCAGUUCGGCGUUCAUCGGAUUACCGUUUUCCGGUUGAGUUUUGAUCUGGAAACAGAGCAGCCGAAGCAGGCUAUGGAAACCUAUAGGAUCUUGCUCGAUAAACCACAAUGAGCACAUGCUCGGCCAAGCUCAUAAGUUUCUCGGCAUCUGCUAUGGGAAUGCUGCGAUGAUAUCCACGUCUGAUUCUGAAAGAGUCGCUCUACAUAGAAACUCCGUUAACUCGUUCAGCCAUACAUUACGCGCUGGGAUUUAAGAUCCGGAGAUCAGCUUCCAACUCGGGUUGGAAAACGCUGUACAGAGAAACUUGGCUUCGGCUUUCAACCAAGCCAUGGUGUACUCAAAGACGAGCGCUGGCAGCUCUGCAAGAGGCUGGAAACUUUUGACGCGCGUUGCAUCAGCUGAGCAGAGGCUGGUGGAUGCAGAAGCCAUCGUUGAUCUUGCAUUGGACGAAACAGAAAGCAUCAAACAGAUUGAGCUUCUUAGGUUGAAAGCCCUUGUUCAGAUCGCUCAAGAGCAGCCGAAGCAUGAAAAGCGCGAAUAAGGUGGAAACCAAUUACUAUGAAUAGGAGGAGCAAUACACAGCAACACAACGGAGAGCAACCAAUUACCUUGCCGCAGCUUUAUCCGAUGCACGGCGGGUCGUCGUUUGAUCGCUAGGGUAGAUUUUUUGUUAAAGGAGCCGCUGAACAAAUUUGAGUUAUGUAAACCCUAUUUAAGCCAUCUAAUUGACACUAUUCACUCUUGGCAGGAAGAUAAUCAUUUGUUUACCGCCUGAA